CUCUCUCUCUCUUUCUCUGUGAAUUGUUCAAAUCCCACCACUCCGCCAUGGAGCUCAGUCCUCCGCACCACCGGUGCAUUUGCUUGGAGACUGUUCGCUCGUCCUCCUCCUCUCACCGUCCUCUACUCGUUUCAAUUUCGCCUCGGAAGACCAGGCUCCUCAGGUCCGUACCUUCUUUCAGAUCGAUUCGCCGGAGAAAUCUGUGCUCCGCCUCCAGCUCCGAGACGUUGGUUGGGUCGCGGAAGGAGGACGGCGGCAAGCACAGUCAGGUCAUGAGCAAGAAAGACGAGGAGGAAGACUUGAAAUCUUGGAUGCACAAGAACGGGCUGCCUCCUUGCAAGGUCGUGCUCAAGGAGAAACCUUCCUACGACGAGAAGCUCCGGCCCAUUCAUUACGUUGCUGCAAGCGAAGAUCUUGAGGUUGGUGAUGUUGCAUUUUCGGUGCCGGAUUCCUUAGUUGUGACUCUGAAGAGAGUGUUAGGGAACGAAACACUUGCUGAAUUAUUAACUACGAACAAAUUAUCGCAAUUGGCAUGCUUGGCAUUGUAUCUGAUGUAUGAGAAGAAACAAGGAAAGAAGUCAUUUUGGUAUCCCUAUAUAAGAGAGCUUGAUCGUCAGCGAGGGAGGGGUCAGUUAGCGGUGGAGUCACCCCUUUUAUGGUCAGAGGCGGAACUGGCUUAUCUUACAGGAAGCCCCACAAAGGCUGAUGUUCAUGCAAGGGCCGAAGGAAUUAAAAGGGAAUAUAACGAGCUUGACACGGUCUGGUUUAUGGCUGGUUCCCUAUUUCAGCAAUACCCAUAUGACAUUCCUACGGAUGCCUUCCCUUUUGAGAUAUUCAAACAAGCUUUUGUUGCGGUUCAGUCUUGUGUGGUGCAUUUGCAGAAAGUUAGUUUGGCUCAAAGAUUUGCUUUGGUUCCUCUUGGGCCCCCAUUGUUAGCUUAUGGAAGCAACUGUAGGGCAAUGUUGACAGCUAUUGAUGGCGCUGUUCAACUAGUGGUCGAUAGGCCAUAUAAAGCAGGGGAGUCUAUUGCUGUUUGGUGUGGACCACAGCCCAAUUCAAAGUUGCUUAUAAACUAUGGUUUUGUUGAUGAAGAUAAUUCUUAUGACCGUUUGGUGGUUGAGGCAGCUUUGAAUACCGAGGAUCCACAAUACCAAGAUAAAAGAAUGGUUGCGCAAGGAAAUGGAAAACUAUCGGUACAAACUUUUCAGGUAUACGCGGGAAAGGAAAAGGAAACAGUCUUCGAUAUGCUUCCCUAUCUGCGACUGGGCUAUGUUUCAGAUCCUUCAGAGAUGCAGUCUGUUAUCUCUUCUCAAGGUCCAAUUUGUCCGGUGAGUCCUUGUAUGGAACGAGCAGUGUUGGACCAACUUGCUGAUUAUUUUAGAACGCGGCUGGCCGGCUAUCCAACUACAUUGAGUGAAGAUGAGUCUUUGUUGGAAGACGCUAAUUUGAAUCCAAAGAAGCGAGUUGCUACACAGCUUAUCAGACUCGAAAAGAAAAUGCUCCAUGCAUGCCUGAAGGUGGUAGUUGAUUUGAUAGACCGGUUACCAGAUGACACUGUAUCAGCAUGCCCGGCACCUUAUGCCCCUUCGUUGAAAUAAAAAGACUAUGGAACUUCUGUGCACUACGUGAUUUAUUAGUUCAAGUGGGAGAACGUAACGCGGUUAAGUUGACGGAAUUUUGUGAAUGCUGGGAUACAGGCAAAGAAAGAGUGCGCGUGGGAACAAACGUUACUGACUUUUACCCAAAUUCCAAGUUUAUUUCCCUCAUCCAAACAUAAUGAACAUUCUGCAACCGCGCGUGGGAAACCUUAAAAACUAUUCGAACUCUAUUUAUCCGUAUCUUUCUGGUACACAACAUAUGAGAUAGAUCGAAGGAAGUGGGCAACGUACAGGGCAACCAAGGAGAACCGUAAUAUUUGUCCGUCGCUCCAUCAGGCAUCAACGAGGAGAGAAUCAGGCAUAUUUGUAUUCAGUAACCUGUAAAUUCCUUUCCACUUGCUUGUCAGCAUCCAAUAUGAUUCCACCCGACAGUCCCCCAUCGUAUAUUCCCCCGAAUUCAUUUUCUUCCUCCCUUCGGAUGAAUGCGGUGCCAACUGAGAACCGCCUUGUGAACGGAGAAAGAACGAAGGGAAAUGAAAAUGGUAUGAAGGAUGUAUGCCUUGAUGAUUUUGGUAGCAGAUGUAAUCUUGGUCAUUCUCUGUAAAUGCGAAUUGGGAUGACCAGUCUCUUAGUCCAGUUGCGUUCAAUGUACAUUACUGAGUUCAGAAUAUGCAUACCUUUCGAGUAAAAUGUAAUCUGUUGAUUUCCUU